rnacentral:rRNA from 1 species
GACGUAGGGCGCGAGCGUUGUCCGGAUUUAUUGGGCGUAAAGAGCGUGUAGGCGGCCUUACAGGUCAGCUGUGAAAACUCGAGGCUCAACCUCGAGACGUCGGUUGAAACCGUAUGGCUAGAGUCCGGAAGAGGAGAGUGGAAUUCCCGGUGUAGCGGUGAAAUGCGUAGAGAUCGGGAGGAACACCAGAGGCGAAGGCGGCGACCUGGACAGCUACUGACACUCAACUACGAAAGCGUGGGGAGCAAACAGG